AUUGAAGAGGCGCAGCCAACAUCAGUAGCGCGGGAGAGCCGGCCAGGUUUUGACCCCACGUGAAAGGGGCGGUUGCCGAAGCGUUUGUCGAGAUGGCUAGGGCAAAUUGGCUGGGUUGCAGUUGAAGAGGCUGCAGACUGUCGCAGGGAAUUUACCUGCGUUGCGCUU
rnacentral:ncRNA from 1 species